AUUGAACGCUAGCGGGAUGCUUUACACAUGCAAGUCGAACGAGUGGCGGACGGGUGAGUAAUAUAUCGGAACGUGCCCAGUAGCGGGGGAUAACUACUCGAAAGAGUGGCUAAUACCGCAUACUAUUGUAGCGGCCGGUAUCGAAUUAGCUAGUUGGUGGGGUAAAGGCUCACCAAGGCAACGAUCCGUAGCGGGUUUGAGAGGACGACCAGCAAAACUGAGAUGGGAAAACGGCCCAAAUCCCACCGGGAGGCAGAGGUGGGGAAUUUGGGAAAAUGGGGGAAACCCUGAUCCAGCCAUCCCGCGUGUAGAAGAAGGCCUUCGGGUUGAAAAGUACUUUUGGCAGAGAAGCGGUAUCUGCAGAAUAAGCACCGGCUAACUACGGGCCAGCGGCCGGGGUAAUA
rnacentral:rRNA from 1 species